UACGUAGGGUGCAGGCGUUGAUCGGAAUUACUGGGCGUAAAGCGUGCGCAGGCGGUUUGUUAAGUCAGAUGUGAAAGCCCCGGGCUUAACCUGGGAACUGCGUUUGAAACUGGGAGACUUGAGUGCGGCAGAGGGGGGUGGAAUUCCGCGUGUAGCAGUGAAAUGCGUAGAUAUGCGGUGGAACACCGAUGGCGAAGGCAAUCCCCUGGGCCGGCACUGACGCUCAGGCACGAAAGCGUGGGGAGCAAACAGG
rnacentral:rRNA from 1 species